CAUAUUCUGUCGUUGGCUUUGGACGAACUCCACCCACAUUGUUCACCUAUGGUGAACAUAAAUUUUUUUUCUUUGAAUGUAAAUGCUUAGUUGUUUCUAUAUCAAAGGUCAUUUACUUACGAAAAUGUCGAGCUUGCCAUUGAACAGGGAGGAGACAGUUUGCAUCAAAGUUUCUCUCUCGGGUCGAGAAGUUACAUCACAGACUGAACCACUCACUUUAAACCCUUUCUUUUCCCAUUCGCUUAAACUUUUAUUCGCAAACAUGGAUUUUUGCUCCAAAACCAGCUAACUCCUCUACUAUGGCAUACCUAAACGUAUUCCAAAAAAUUAAAUUACCUAAAAUCUUGGCAUUCAUGACAAUAUGGAGAGAAGAAAGACGAACCUGAUUCCGCUGCCUCCACCGGUUACAAGAGCAGUCGUACCUUGAAGACUCCAUCUUUUAUCCAUUUUUUUUAAUGCGGCUAGCAAUGGUCAGAAAUGGCAUACAUUAUAGUGUAGAUCAGAUAUGUGUGAAUAAAUAAGUAUGUUUGGAUGUUGUGGUGGGAGUGUUAUGUGAGACAACAUGCCAAAAAUGUCCGUCGUCUCGUGCAUAAAGUACUGUUACUAGUCAAAAUCUUGGACGUAAACAAAUUUGUCGUUCUGUGACGACGAACCUAGAAAGUCGGAACGGUGAACAACGUUUUGUUGGAACCAAAUUUUACAAGUUUAUUAGACCUAGGGCCUGACCGGUUCAAACGUGGCGGCUGCGGUUAUAGGAGUUUUGCGGAUGCGGGUGGUUGUGGUUCUAUCGGUUUUAAGAGAUUUGUACGACUGGUCCUGCGGUCAAAAAUUAAUGCGUUUGCGGGAUACUUAUGACUGGUUAACUAUCAAAUGCAACAUGAGUUAAAUAAAAAAUAUAAUAUGUACAUUUUAUAUAAUUAUAAAAAUAUCAAAAAUCAUAAUUCUAUAUUAAAUAUAAAAAUUAUAUUUAGAAAGUUAUAGUUUUAAAUUUUUUUAAAUUAUAGAAAAUAUUUUUAUUUUAAAAUUUAUAAUAUUAAUUAAAAUAUAAUAGAUAUAUUUUAGUAUUUUUAUAAUUCUCAUUUAAAUUUUUUAUUGAAAAUAUUUAUUUUUGUAUUUAUAUUAUUUUAAAAAGAAAUUAUCUUUCCGCAACCGUUUGCAACCGCAAACGCUACCUGAAACCAGCUUUUGAAUUUUUGAGGUUUAGAACAGUUUAAAACGGUUUAAAACAGUUUGGAUGAUUGUUGCAAAACACCAACAACCGCUACCAACCGCAAAAGCUGCGUUUGCAGGUGGUAGCAUAAAAUCCAGUCAUACCCUGACUAAAAUGUUGGAUUAUGGUUUCAAUUUUAUUGGCUGUCUCCGAAGGGACCUCUUACAUUUUCAUGAAAGGCUAUUAAGCGUAAUAUGACGAAAUUGUCUUUUCACAUGAAGGAUAUACUAGUUAGAGAUUAGAGAAAGGAUCAUAAAAAAACCUAAUAAAUAUGACAAGACUCGCCUAAAAAUAAAGUGAGCAAUGGUUUAUGGUUUUGAGAAAUAUUCUUUGUCGCUUUACAACCUUAUUACUCUUUCGAAGCUAGUUGACUAUUUUUGUGUUCUCCUUUUACCCACUGUUUUCCUUUUCGUUUUGAUCAACCUGCUUUGAAAGUCCCUUCAUGUUUUUAAAAUUUUACCUCUUUUAUCUGAAUCCCUGGAUAAUAAACUGCUCUGCCUUUUAUCCACCGGGUUCAGCUUCCGAUCCGGGUCGGAGGGCCGGAGUCCACCACCACUGCAGCACCGGUAAGCAUAUGCCCAAUAGUUAUACUUGUUUGUCCCUCAUCUAAACUAUCCUCUUGCUAGAUCUUUGUUGAUAACAGUGAACCUUCUUGAGCUCAACUCUAAGAACUUCUCAGCAAAGCUCUUAUCUGAAUCUCAUAGAGCUUGCUCUAAGAACUCUCUCACUUUUAAAGUGUUGAAGCCAAAAGAACUUGUUUGUAGAAUAUAAAAUACACUAAAAUUGCGUACCAUUGACUAUGAAAUAUUUUGAAAAACUUGUUUGUAGACAACGUUCAUUGUUUUUGUCUACAACUUCCCUUGUUUAUCCGUUAUUAGAAUUUUUAAUCCAGAUCUCGACUUUACUCUUGAAAGUGCAACAUAUAAUUAACUGCCCAUGAGAAAACACUGGUCUAGGUAGAAACAAACCAACAUUUUGCAGCGUUUGACUUUGACUUUUAUUGACAGUCAUCGCAAAAGGCAAUGUAACUGGAAAAUGUCUUCGAUGCGUUCUAAAGAGAAACUUUGUAUCAAGUGGUGUGACAAACAUUCUAGGGAUCCAAACUGGCUCUUCGGUAAUAUUGUUUCUUGUUAUACUUCUACCUUGUAUGACAUGGGACAAUAACUGAGUAACAAUUAUCCUAGUACCAUUACAUAAACCAUCUGCAGCAUCAAUGUUACGAAGACACAUGAUAUGAGCACCAACCAUGAGCUUCAAACAGUGUCUAGAAAGUCCAGCGACUUUAACACUGUUCAAAAACUCUAUAGGAUAUACCACAUUUUCUUCUAUGUCGACUCUAACCUUCUCUAAUUUUUAAAAAUGCCUUAUAUGUACAAUAUACUUGAAUUCUGAGUUCAUUGUAUAUGAAUGAGCUAUGAAAUAUAUAAUAUUUUAUAUAUUUGGUACCUUCAAGUGUUGUACAUAUAAGGCAUAUAAUUGAUUCACUAAUAACUCUCUUUUUGAUAUAAAAUUAAGUAUAUACAAAAGUUUCAGCAACUAAAUAUUCAAAUAUGUAAGAUGAAAAAAAUAUAAGGAUAUGAGUAUUGGUCAAGUAUUUGUUUUACUUUUACUAUAUCAAUAUUAUUCAUUUCUGACUGCAACAGUUAUUACACUUUCCGAGCGGAGAUCUUCCUAUAUAUUGGAACAUUGGUUUAAUUUCGCAUAAUAGUUUUUACUUUUUGGAAGGUAAUAAAAAAUGCAAUACUAUUGGUUAAGGUAAUACAACUUAGGGAAAAAGGUAUGUAAUAUGGUCAGGUAUCUUGGAAUAUAUUCAGUAUCGUGACAGGAAAAACUGUUCCAAUUUUCGAAAUUUGAUACAUCAUAAAUUUAACAUUUAAUUUUAAAUCUUAAAGGAAUUAGAGUAUGUCGUUAUAUGAUCUUUUAUUAAGAAAAAAAAUUAGAGUAUGUCGUUAUAGCCGAGGAAAAAAAAAGAGUCGUUAUGUUUAAAUUUUCCUUAGGUUAAAAUGUUUUGCUUGUUUAGCAAGCAUCUUGCCUUGAAAGACAUGUAACUAUUCAUUAUUAACAACUAGGGUCGGCCCGGCUAGAUAUAUUUUACUUGUGAUUUAGGUUACUAUUUUUUAUAUGAUUUUGUGGGUUUUGUUUUUGGUUUACAUUUGCAAUAGAUGUAUAUGAUAAUGAUUUUUGUCUUUUGAAAGUUGUAGGUGAAGAGGAAUUAUAUGUGAUUAAAUAUAUUUUGUUUGUUUGCAAUAGUUGUUUCUUUAUUAAAGAGUUGUGGCAUUGUUAUGUUGUGAGGGCUUCAAAUGGUCUUCAUGAUGUUUCCUUUAAAAAAAAAAUUGAUUAUGUAUUUGGUAUGUUAUUUGUGAUUUGUAACAUUUAGGUUGAGAAGGAUUUGGUUGUGGGUAAAUUUUUAUGUAUGUUAUAAAAGUAAUUAUCCUUUAUGUUGAAAUCAUAGAUUUUGGACAUAUUAUUUGAAGUUGCAUUUCUUAUUAAAAGUAAAAUGUUAAACUAAAUGAGAAGAAUGUAUUAAUGCAAAGCUAAUCAAAAUAAGAACACAUUGAAACUGGAAAAUGUGAAAACUGAGUAGUGGCCGAUGAGUGUAGGCACUUGUCAAUCACCAUAAAACCAACACUAAGAAUUUCUCCAUUUGUUUAUAGUAAUAACAAUCAAUAUAUUGUUUUUCAAGAUUAUUGAGAUGUGGUGGCAUUGUAAAGAUCAUAUUAGUCUCAGCAUUUGUCUGCCCGAGACAUGUUGGUUUUUGUUCAUGACGUUCCAUAAAUUUCAUGCAUUCCUCAUGUUUUCAUGUGCAUAACAAAAUUAUGGUAUAAAGAUAGUUACUUCACCACAGUUGUUGUUUGCUAAUAUGUGAAGAUGUUUUAGUCUUGUGGCGGUUUUGUUUCAAAGUCAAAAAUAAUUUUUUUCUAAUAAUAAUUCUUGUAUAGAUUAGGUAAAUAUUUUCUUACUUAAUCUCAUACACUGACUUCUAGAGUCAUUCAUCUGAACUGAACGGUUUUGGGAUCUUUUAAAUUCUUUAUAUUACAGUUAAAAUUAAAAGCAAAGAAAAACACAUUGGUUAAGUAUGUAUUUGGUUUAAUAGUUGUUCUUAUUUGAGAAAUUUUGGAUAUAUGUGGGUUGAAUAAUUAUUUUCGUGGUUACUUUAUUUUAUAGGGUUUUAUUAUGAUUUUUCACUAUUUUUUGGAAUUAAGUAAAUUUAUACUUUGAUGGUUGAGAUGAUUUCAAUAGAAAUGUGUUCUUCUUUAUUUUGGUAAUAUAAAUAUUUUGAUUGGUUUAUUUUAUAUUUUCUACUUUCAUUUAUACUCCUAUAUCUUAUUGUUAUUAUUACGCUUCAAUUUAAAAUUUAUAAUUACUAAAAAAGUAUUUUCAUAUCAGUAUUAAAUUAGUUGUAUUAAAACUCUCUUUGACAUUCAUUAAGUUACUACAUUUAUUUGCAUAUGGUUUCUUUAAUGUGUUAUUAUAUAAAUACAAUUUUCAUUUAUUUUUAUAAUUAAUUCUUUAGUUCUAUUUUAUUAUAUUUUUCUCAAUUAAUUUUUAAAAAAAUUUUAAAAUUAUUUGACUUAUUCUUUUUUUUUAUAAUAUUUUUUUUAGUUUCUCGUAUUUCUUGUGUUUCACGCGGAGUAUUUGUUAUUGUAAAAUAAAUUCUUAUUUUCAGAAUUAUUUUUAUGUUAUUGAAUUAUUUUUUAAAAAAAAUUCAUAUUCUUUUUAUUAGUUAUUUUUAGAAUCAUAUUUUUUGUUUGAGAUAUUUUCACAAACGCUAAUCACGUUUUGUAGUAUAUAUACACGGAGAGAGAUGAAUGUAUAGCUUCAGACAGUAACAGUCUAACAAAUAGUAUACACAACGGUAUUAUGUUGGUAACAGAUCAAAGAGCAGAGAGAUCAGAGUCGAAACAUAUGAAGAAAGGAUCUUGCAAGAAUCUUAAACUCACCAAUAUGAUGGAGAAGUGGAGGCAGUGUAACAAAGGACACUUCUCUGCGUACACCAGAGAAGGCAGGAGGUUUGUUUUGCCGUUGGAUUAUCUGAAACGUCCAAUCUUUCAGGUCUUAUUGGAGAUGGCGGAGGAAGAGUUCGGUUCCACAAUUUGUGGCCCUUUAAAUGUUUCUUGCAAUGGAGGUUUGAUGGAUCACAUCCUCGUGUUGCUCAGAAAGAAGAGUUUGUCUAGCCAUGGUGGUGAUGAUGAUGAUGUGAAGAAGAAGAACCAUGAUGUGUCAAGCAAAGAAGCUUCAUCGGUUUCAUAUUUCUUCCCUCUCUUUCGUUGCAACGCAGCCCAAGAUCAGAUCAAGCUUCAGUCUCUAGUUUUUUUAACACUUUUAUGCGUUGUGGAGAGCACCUUUACAAAGAAAAUUUAUUUAUGUUUGUAUAUAUAUAGAGAAACAGAGAUUCUGUAUAAGCCUUGCAGUUUGGUAAAUCAAUAUUCAGUUUUGACAGAGAUUUCUGUAAGAGAAAUAAAUAAUUGGUUAACCAAAUAAAUGAGUUAACUAACGGUGAAGUGUAAGAUAGAGUGGUUUGCUAGAGCUUCGAGUUUGUGAGCUUUAUAAGUUUUCUUCUUAAAAUUUUGCCAGAGGGAUUUUUGGGGAUUGAAGCCAAAAAUGUGACCUUAUGUAUCCUCUUGUACGGCGAUACCUAAGUAAUCUAAACAAAAACUUAGAAUAAAUCGUAGGAACCACACUGGAUUACGACAAAAAGGGUAUAUGCAUUGGUUGGAAAAACCUGUUUUGCUACGAAGCUCAUGAUUUCAAUUUCGGAUAAGUUACUUCCAGCUGUUUUUACGAUAUAUACCAUUGGAUAUUGCCCAGCUUUCAAGUCAGGGAUGCUUCAAAAAACAUAAGAAAGAAAAAGUAAAGAGCUACAGAAAAAAGGUCAUUAAAAAGAGAAGAAUUUAGUGGUGGAUCAUGUUAAAAGAAAAAUUCCUUACGGUAUUACUGCUGCAUCAGAAAUCUCUGGAUGAGCAAGCAAACCAGAGGAUCCGUACCUCUCAGUCUCCUCGUUAGUAAACAUAGAAGCAACUAUAGCCGCCAUCUCAGUCAAGCCAUAGCCUUGCAGAAAUUUAACGUUACUGUAUAUAUCUCUCAACGAACUUCUCCGUCACCUCUUUAAUAGUUUACCCAUUCUUCAAUAUCCUUACACUCCAAACGGUUUCUGCAUAUAAAAUCGUUUCAUAAAGUCUCCUUCUUUACAAUAGCACAACACAAUAAACAGAAUGGGAGCUUCUUUUUUUUUUUGAACAGCAAAAACAUUGUAUGAAUGAUGAGAUUUGAUGUUUUCACCUAUCCAUCUAAAUUAAGAGAGCUGAGAAACCGUUUGUAGGAUGAAGUGAAGGUAAUCCUGAUUGGAUCAGGAGAACUGAGAAACCAUUUGUAGACGGAAGUGGAUAAAAGCUUGAUUGGAUCAGGAGGACUAUCGCUAAUCCGUUGAUGCGUGCCCCUAAAAACGCAGAAGAGUCGAUCCCUCGCAGAAGCUUUCCUUUACAGUUUUGGCAACAGAGGUAAGGAGCAGAAGCAUAAUUAAGUUGCCCCUAAACCAUCACGCCUUGAUUGACCAGAGGUGGUAAAGUGAAUAUCGAACGUCACGGCAACGACUCCGUCUUCACGCAGACGCAAUGAUGGCAGGUGAGAGACGGUGGAUUGAUUUCAGGUCCGAUGAAGAGAUCAGAAGAGAAAUACUGACUUAUUUAUACAUGAUAUCACAGAUCCUCGCCGAUGCAAACGACACAUUGAAGAACUCGUACAAAACCAUAACACACUCCUUUUCAGAAACCGUGAGGAAGAUGGAUCAUCCCGUACCCUGUUUAAGAACUGGUUUUGGAUGUGGCAUGUCAUCCUAAAAGAAAAAGAAGCUCUAUUUUAUAUAAAUAGAUUUAAUUAAACUAUCUUUCACAAUUUACAUAAAUAGACAGUCAAGUGAUAUAAUCUGAUUUUCCCAACUAUUUAUUAGGUGUUAAUGAUAAGGAAAUUGAUACAAAUAUAAUGUAGACAUUUUUCUUUUUAAUGGAUUAUAAGUAAUCCAAAUAAAGAAUUAUAAUAUUAAAAACUAAAAAAGCUGAAAGAAUAAAACAAAAAAAUAGUUUAGAUAUUGUUGUCAAAAAAAAUUAAACAAAAUAUUAUCGAAAAAUUAAACAUAAAAAGAAAAUUAAGACAAAGACAUAAAAAAUCUGAUAGUAAUCUUCAAAUCUUUAAAUUCGGUUUUCAUGUUUUAGUUUUUGGAUCCCAAACAAAGUUACGAACGGCACAGCAAUAUGAAGACUUUAGAUUUACACCUUCUGAAUGUAAGUUUGUUAUUCUCCAUCCAAUCCAUAAACUUGGAUUUAUCUUGGUCAUAAAGGAUAUUGACUGAAUGUUGUUCUCUGUGUGUAAAUGUCAUCAUAUUGUUAUAUUGAUGCCACUGACUGACUUUAGUCUCUUGACGAUUCUCAAUCUUUUGGGAUAUCUGAAACGUAUUUUACGACAAUGUUUAGAUAUCGAAAGUAUAAUAAAAGUAUAAUAUAAAAUAUAUAUUGAUAUAUAAAAAUUACUUACAUCAACAUACAAAGAGAAUGAAGUUUUAUCAUCAUCCCAUGUGCAUAAUUCCUUUAGGAAAACAAAUCAUGGUCAAACAUAAAAAGUGGGCUUGCAAAAAGAUGGAUCUCGAGUUGUAGAAUACAUUUUUAGGAGUUCACCAUAGAUAUUUGGACGGCUGCAUGUUACCCGGUGAAUUUUAGGACGCUAGACUAAUUUAUUUUGUUCCUUUGCAAAGUAGUUUUUGAGUGGCAGAUUUUUAGUGAGCUAAUCAACUGCUUCCCAAUGCAAAGCCAUGAGAUACUUCUUCACAAGAUCAACUACAGAUUGUUUAUCCCUUAUGAGUAUGAACCAGAAAUGAAGUCAGAAUCCAGAAAUCAUGACACAGAGAACAAACCAAUGAAAGCUCACGGAAUCAGGUUAUAGCAUGAAAAAGUUUCUCAGCAGCUUUCCACCACAUAGAAAGUUAUCAGAUGGUAAUCAUUUACAUUAACAGUUAUUAAAUUAGUAGAACAACUUAAAUCUCAUGAACUAUAUUGAGGAUCUCAUAUGAAGAAUUGUCUUUCACAGAAACGAGAUACUAGUUAGGGAUUAAAGAAAGGAUCCCAAAUAAAUAUCAUAAAUAUGAUAAGAGUGGCCUAAAAAUAAUGUGAGCAAAUAGCUUAUGGUUUUGAGAAAUAUUCUUGGUCGCUUCAUGACAACCUUAUUACUCUUCCGAGAAACUUAAUAUUUCAAAGUAUCUCUCUAUCUAUUUUGAAUGAUGUGUGUUCGUCAUUUUCGAAUAGUAUGAGUUCGAAGUUUUGAGAUUAAAUAGGGAACAUGUAUGAGUGUUACCCAUGUUUUGCUCAGUUAAGACACUAUCUGUCUUUUUCUUUGCAAGUACAAAACAGAGGAUAGAGGAGAAACUUUGUGAUGCAUGAGAGAGAUUGCUGAAGGCUGUUGGUGCUGUGGCUUCCGGGUAAAAGAGUGGUGCUCGCUAAGGUUCUCGUGUGUAACUGAAUCUUCAAUUACAACAGUGACAAUGUAGACACGCUUUUUUUUUUGGAUAUAAACUCACAGUGUGACAAUUUUUAUUUGAGAGCAGAUUUUAAGAGUUCAAAGAAAGUGUGACGCCCGUCACUUUCGAAAUAAUAAUAAAAAUGAUGCGAUAAAUAAUAGUUUCUGAAAUCUUCAUUUAUAAAUAUAAAAGUCAACGUCCACGCUGUAAAUCCAUAAUAUAAAAUAACAUCCGAAAUAUAGAUAACGGUAUAAGUCCGAAAUAUAAAGACAACAUAAAUUCGUAAGUCUGAAAUAGGAAAUAACAUAAACGAUAAAAGCCCAAAGGCCUAAAAUCCCGAUAACGAUAAAAGCGAUAGAAGCCCAAAAGUCCAAUAGCACCGGUCCGAUAAUCACUCCUGCUCGUCGGUCUCACCUGAAAGGGGGAAAGAAGGAGGGGUGAGCAACAGGGGAGUUGCCCAGCGAGGUAUGGGAUGCUAAACCGCAAACCACAGACUGAGUUCAUAGCACUACUAAAAUGUAGGCAUAGCUCUAGCAUGAAACAAACACGGUGCCUAUUACACCACACAGAACAAUCAAUAUGCGGCUAGAGGACUAGCCGUUACAACUCAUGCGCUUAUAGUACAUAGCUACUCUAUGCACCACGCAUCUCCUCAUAAGGAUAUAUACAUAUACUCGAAGCGUCGCUAGUACAGUCUGUCUCUGUACCCCCGCCCAUCGUAGCGUCAAAUGCAAACGUCUCUGCACCACGCCCCAAACAGUAGCGUCGAAGCUCAAACGUCUCUGAACUCACGCCCAUACCAUACCGUAGCGUCGAAGCUCAGACAUCUCUGAACUCACGCCCUCAUCACAUAAUCCCUACUCAUAACUAUGUAUAUACAUAUAUAUAGCAGUUCUUAGCAUCAAUCAUUUCACACAAUCGUUGAAUCCUCUAUUAUCCUAAUUCCGGUUAACAAUCAAUAUCAAUAAUGAACAAGCAAGACUCUCAAACAGACUCGAUUCACAGAGACGGAUCAUGUUUCGAAACUAAACUUUCCAUAAUGGUAGUACUAAACUAGCUCGGGAUUUAACGGAGUAGCCCUCACCUUAGCAAUAGGGAAAUGUGGUAUCUAUGAACUCCAGAUGCUCAAAUAGACUCCAAAUCUGAAAUCAGGGCGAAAAAUCGAGUCAGAACGCCUUUCGAACGGUUUAAAACGGGUCUGGUCAAGGUUUAUGGAAAAGUCAAUUCGAUGGUCAAAGGUCAAUCCGGUCAACCCUUGACCAGAAAUCAAUUUGUCCUAACCGACCGGUUUACCCUAACCGAAACGAAAUCAAUUUAAACCGGUCAAACCAGUCAAACCAGCGGUUAACCGAGUCAACCGAGUUGACUCACCGGGUCGACUCAGCCGAGUUGGCGAGUCGUCGGCGAGUCACCGGCGACGGUCACCGACGGCGACGGCGAUGGCUUACCGGUGGUGACGGCGGACGACGGCGGCGACAGAAGGCGGAGCACGGCGACAGCGACGGCGUUCCGGUGGUGGUCUGGCGGCGGAGACGAUUUCUGGCGGCGGCGCGUGUAACUCACGCGCGCACAGAGGCGAAACUUCCGGAUGCUCUAGCGGCUUCGUCCGGACUCCGAUUGCGGCGUGGUCGGUGGCUACGGCUUCGUCUCGACGAGAGGAACACGAUGGUGGCUCUGCAUGCGCGAGAUUCUCAACGGUUAAGAAGAUAUGGCCGAUAUACUGAACGGACGAAAACAAAGCUUAAGAGGCGGCGGUUUCCGACGAUACUCAGCUGCGGUUGAUGGUGAUGACGAGCUUGACGAUGUCCUGGCGUGCGGUGGCUCCGGCGAGGACUCCUGGUGGCAGCAUGCAGUGGUUCCUAUCUUUCUUUCUCUCACUCUCUCUUUUUCACUUCUUCUUCUCUCUAACUUUUCUGAUUUCUUUUUGAUGCAGGUGGAGAAAACAAUGUGAAAAUGGGGUAUUUAUAAACAAACAUUUUAGUUUUGAUGUAUUGCUUGGGCCUUAGCCGGCUAACGAGUUCCGAGAUCGAAAUUCGGAUCGUUACAAUUCUCCCCCACUUAUAAGGAAUUCGUCCCCGAAUUCAAGUCAUAAUCUGACAUGUCCAAUGUCAUCGUAACAAAACCUCGAAUAAUAAUCCUUGCUCGGCUCAGGUCUCCUCUUGAAUCUUAUUCCUCCCAACGAACCUUGACCAACAUCGUCACUAGAUACAUGGUCACCACUCCCUAGACUGAUUUCACUUGCUGACCAAUAAAGAGAUAUGUUCCCAUAUAUUUUGGUUAAGCUUCUUUAGAUUCCGAAUCUUUGAUUCUUCUUGAAACAUCCUCCUUCAGAUUUAUUAGGUCGCCAACUUCAAAAUCCAAAUCCUUACGGCGCUUAUCCACGUAACUCUUCUGACGGUCAUGGGCUUCCUAACCUAAGCUUCGAGCAUUUCCAUUUGCUCUACCGUCUCUUGAAUCAUUGCUGAUUCCAUCUCACGUCUCUCCCCCACUUUGGUCCAACAAAGUGGUGUACGACUAGACCCACCAUAAAAACCUCGACGAUACCAUCAUAAUACUCAAAUGAUAACAGGUAUAUCGCGAUGAAUCUUGAUCGUUCCCAAGCUCUCCAUAACAACAAUCUGAAUCUGCUUAUAUUUCGGUUAGAAGAUCCCCCAAAAAAAAACUAAAACUUAACCAAACGCGAACUCACAAAACUAUAAAAAGCUCUUAAGUCAAAUAAGGUGUGAGGUAACUCACACCAACCACAACCAAUCAUACACGAGAUUCACUAAUCUCGAACUAUACAAGAUAACCACAAAACCACAAAUAUUAACACAAGCAAGUAUGUUAAGAACACAUACCCGCUAUCGGCUCAGCUCCAUGGGGAUCUCCAACCGCAAACGCACGUGGAGCGAUGGCUAGACGCUUCGGUGGUGGUGGAAGUGCCGCAUUGCCCCUCCUCGGGCAAUCUCUGAUGAAGUGACCUGGAUGACCACAGCCAAAGCAGACAUGUGCCGCUGCUGGUGCUGCUGGUGCUGCAAUCUGUCUGACUGGUGGCGCAACCUGAGCAUCAAAUAGCCUACUCCGACAAACCCUACUCUUAUGUCCCAUCUUUCCACAGUAAAAGCACUGUAUGCUCGGUUUGUCCCAUGUCCUCUGCUGUGCCUCUGAAGUCCCUCCAAACUUAGGCUGAACUGCCUUGGAGUACUUCUGCUCCUCUGCCAAACCUGCCUCCUGCUCGGCAGCCUUCUCCACCAAAUCUCCCAAUCUGUGAUAAGUGACGACACGGCACCUGUUGCGAAUCUCCACUCGCAUCCCAUUCAAAAAUUUUCUCAUCAGGUCUUCCUCUAAAAUGCCCUCUCCAGCAAAUCUGCGAAGUUGGUUAAACACAACCUCAUACUCCCUGAUAGACAUCUCACCCUGGCUUACAUGCUCGAACUCGCAUUUCUUCCUAUCCAUAGCUUCCUUCGGAAAGUAUUUCCUAUCGAACUCUCGGAUGAAGUCUGCGAAGGUAAGCCUCUCUGGCCCAAGGUGACUCAAUCGUAUUCCCUCCCACCAUAUAAGAGCAUCUCCACGAAGGUACUGCAUAGUCAAUCUGAGCGACAACUCUGGUGGACACUCAAUAAUCUCCAGCUUCCGCUGCAAGGCUAACUUCCAAUCAUGUGCAGCUACAGCAUCCACUGUCCCACUAAAAUGCUCCAUAUCCAUGUUCCUCAUCUGACGCGUCAGCCUGUAGAACCUCUCAUCAUAAACCGGGUAAACAUGAGGUCGCGGUGGUGGUGGUGGUAGAUCCUGAACACCAUGAGCAAACUGCUGAGCUGGUCCGUGCUGCAGUGGAACCUGAGGAAGGGGAACCUGCUGAACGGGAUCCUGAUGAUCAUGCUGAGCGGGAAUCUGCUGAUCCUGCUGGACCUGAACCGGUGGAACUUGCUGAACCUGAAUCUGUGGACCCUGCUGCACCUGAACCUGAGGAGCCUGCUGAACUGCAGCCAUCUGACGAGCAACCUCCUGAGCAGCUACUCGGGCAACCUCCUGAGCGGCCUGCCUGGCUGCCUCCUGGGCAAUCUGCUGAAGUGCCUCCUGAGCGGCCUGUCUAGCGGCAUCCUGAACCAUCUGUCUCAAUGCAUCCUGAUCAACUGGUGGAGCCGCGGGUGGCGGAACUGCGGGCUGCUCAUGCUCAUCUAAAUCGUCUCUAACAGCUCUGGCGGUCUGGGCACGAGUGGUUCUUCUCCUUGGCGGCAUCUGAAAGGAAAGCGAAAUGUUAACUUACGCUCAACUUUCGAUACCAACAUUUAAGGAGAAGUGAUAUCGAACGGAAAGGUGCUAUUUAUUUUCGUUUACAAAAUUCCCAAAUCCCCGAAAAUAUUUGAAAUCAUCUAAAACCGUCUAAAACCGAAUAAAACCGAAUAAAACCAGGUCUCCAAAAAUCGCCAUCCCGGGUCGGAGCCGGGACAGAACCCCGCUCUGAUACCAAAACUGUGACGCCCGUCACUUUCGAAAUAAUAAUAAAAAUGAUGCGAUAAAUAAUAGUUUCUGAAAUCUUCAUUUAUAAAUAUAAAAGUCAACGUCCACGCUGUAAAUCCAUAAUAUAAAAUAACAUCCGAAAUAUAGAUAACGGUAUAAGUCCGAAAUAUAAAGACAACAUAAAUUCGUAAGUCUGAAAUAGGAAAUAACAUAAACGAUAAAAGCCCAAAGGCCUAAAAUCCCGAUAACGAUAAAAGCGAUAGAAGCCCAAAAGUCCAAUAGCACCGGUCCGAUAAUCACUCCUGCUCGUCGGUCUCACCUGAAAGGGGAAAGAAGGAGGGGUGAGCAACAGGGGAGUUGCCCAGCGAGGUAUGGGAUGCUAAACCGCAAACCACAGACUGAGUUCAUAGCACUACUAAAAUGUAGGCAUAGCUCUAGCAUGAAACAAACACGGUGCCUAUUACACCACACAGAACAAUCAAUAUGCGGCUAGAGGACUAGCCGUUACAACUCAUGCGCUUAUAGUACAUAGCUACUCUAUGCACCACGCAUCUCCUCAUAAGGAUAUAUACAUAUACUCGAAGCGUCGCUAGUACAGUCUGUCUCUGUACCCCCGCCCAUCGUAGCGUCAAAUGCAAACGUCUCUGCACCACGCCCCAAACAGUAGCGUCGAAGCUCAAACGUCUCUGAACUCACGCCCAUACCAUACCGUAGCGUCGAAGCUCAGACAUCUCUGAACUCACGCCCUCAUCACAUAAUCCCUACUCAUAACUAUGUAUAUACAUAUAUAUAGCAGUUCUUAGCAUCAAUCAUUUCACACAAUCGUUGAAUCCUCUAUUAUCCUAAUUCCGGUUAACAAUCAAUAUCAAUAAUGAACAAGCAAGACUCUCAAACAGACUCGAUUCACAGAGACGGAUCAUGUUUCGAAACUAAACUUUCCAUAAUGGUAGUACUAAACUAGCUCGGGAUUUAACGGAGUAGCCCUCACCUUAGCAAUAGGGAAAUGUGGUAUCUAUGAACUCCAGAUGCUCAAAUAGACUCCAAAUCUGAAAUCAGGGCGAAAAAUCGAGUCAGAACGCCUUUCGAACGGUUUAAAACGGGUCUGGUCAAGGUUUAUGGAAAAGUCAAUUCGAUGGUCAAAGGUCAAUCCGGUCAACCCUUGACCAGAAAUCAAUUUGUCCUAACCGACCGGUUUACCCUAACCGAAACGAAAUCAAUUUAAACCGGUCAAACCAGUCAAACCAGCGGUUAACCGAGUCAACCGAGUUGACUCACCGGGUCGACUCAGCCGAGUUGGCGAGUCGUCGGCGAGUCACCGGCGACGGUCACCGACGGCGACGGCGAUGGCUUACCGGUGGUGACGGCGGACGACGGCGGCGACAGAAGGCGGAGCACGGCGACAGCGACGGCGUUCCGGUGGUGGUCUGGCGGCGGAGACGAUUUCUGGCGGCGGCGCGUGUAACUCACGCGCGCACAGAGGCGAAACUUCCGGAUGCUCUAGCGGCUUCGUCCGGACUCCGAUUGCGGCGUGGUCGGUGGCUACGGCUUCGUCUCGACGAGAGGAACACGAUGGUGGCUCUGCAUGCGCGAGAUUCUCAACGGUUAAGAAGAUAUGGCCGAUAUACUGAACGGACGAAAACAAAGCUUAAGAGGCGGCGGUUUCCGACGAUACUCAGCUGCGGUUGAUGGUGAUGACGAGCUUGACGAUGUCCUGGCGUGCGGUGGCUCCGGCGAGGACUCCUGGUGGCAGCAUGCAGUGGUUCCUAUCUUUCUUUCUCUCACUCUCUCUUUUUCACUUCUUCUUCUCUCUAACUUUUCUGAUUUCUUUUUGAUGCAGGUGGAGAAAACAAUGUGAAAAUGGGGUAUUUAUAAACAAACAUUUUAGUUUUGAUGUAUUGCUUGGGCCUUAGCCGGCUAACGAGUUCCGAGAUCGAAAUUCGGAUCGUUACAGAAAGUUGCAUGAAAUAAAACACGAGAAGGGCAUUCUCAAGCAUGUGGUUGAUAGGAGAAACCGUUAACGGUGAGGCCUCCAUCAACGCAAAUUGUUUGACCAGUUAUAUAAGACGCCGCAGGUAGACACAAGAAGACCACCAGUGAUGCAACUUCAUUUGGCUCUCCAGCACGACCAAGUGGAGUUCUACCAAACAAUUCCUCCUUGAAACUGACGUCAUCAAGAUACUUUAAGAAACAAAAUUUGAGAGGAGAUUAGAGGAAAUGAGGUUGGUAAUUCCAAAAAAAAAAAAAAGUAAAAGUUGUCUUGUUGAUUUACUGGUUGAGACAGAGGAGUCUUGAUAGCAUUAGGAGCAACAGCGUUGGCCCUUAUGCCAUCUUUAGCCCAUUCACAUGCCAAAUUUCUUGCUAGCUGAUUCAGAGCUCCUGUAAAAGACUUAUGUGGAUUCAACAAAAGAAACAAAAAAAAGAAAAACACUUAAUCUUGUCUCUAGUAGUACUUUGGUUACCUUUUGCUAGACUAUAAAUGGAUCCACAUUCAAAAGAUACAACCCCAGCAACAGAUGAAAUGAAGAUGAUGCUUCCAUAGCCUGAAGCCUUUAGGAGAGGAUGUGAAAGCUGGCAAAAAUGGAAAGCAGGUUCCAAGUUUGUUGCAAUAUGGAAAUCAAAAUCGUCUGCAUCAUAUUCUGUCGUUGGCUUUAGACGACCUCCACCCACAUUGUUCACCUAUCGUGCACAUAAACAAAGUUUUCUUUGGAUGUAAAUGCUUAGUUGUUUCUAUAUCAAAGGUCAUUUACUUACGAAAAUAUCGAGCUUGCCAUUGAACAGGGUGGAGACCUUUUGCAUCAAAGUUUCUCUCUCGGUUCGAGAAGUUACAUCACAGACUGAACCACUCACUUUAAACCCUUUCUUUUCCCAUUCGCUUAAACUUUUAUUAAGCAGUGUUUCAGAUAUGUCGCAAACAUGGAUUUUAGCUCCAAAACCAGCUAACUCCUCUACUAUGGCAUACC
rnacentral:lncRNA from 1 species